rnacentral:rRNA from 1 species
ACACGUAGGAGGCAAGCGUUAUCCGGAUUUAUUGGGCGUAAAGGGCAAGUAGGCGGUAGCAAAAGUUGGGCGUGACAUGUCUCGGCUUAACUGAGAAGGUGCGCACAAAACUAGGCUACUAGAGGGCAGGAGAGGAAGGCGGAAUUCCUAGUGUAGCGGUGGAAUGCUCAGAGACUAGGAGGAACACCAGUGGCGAAGGCGGCCUUCUGGCCUGCACCUGACGCUGAGAGGCGAAAGCUAGGGUAGUGAACGGGCUUAGAUACCCCGGUAGUCCUAGCUGUAAACGUUGGAUACUGGGUAUUGGGGGGUAUAAACCUUCAGUGCCGAAGCAAACGCGUUAAGUAUCCCGCCUGGGGACUACGAUCGCAAGGUUAAA